rnacentral:rRNA from 1 species
GGUUAAGCGACUAAGCGUACACGGUGGAUGCCCUGGCAGUCAGAGGCGAUGAAGGACGUGCUAAUCUGCGAUAAGCGCCGGUAAGGUGAUAUGAACCGUUAUAACCGGCGAUUUCCGAAUGGGGAAACCCAGUGUGACUCGUCACACUAUCAUUAACUGAAUCCAUAGGUUAAUGAGGCGAACCGGGGGAACUGAAACAUCUAAGUACCCCGAGGAAAAGAAAUCAACCGAGAUUCCCCCAGUAGCGGCGAGCGAACGGGGAGGAGCCCAGAGCCUGAAUCAGCAUGUGUGUUAGUGGAAGCGUCUGGAAAGGCGCGCGAUACAGGGUGACAGCCCCGUACACAAAAGCGCAUAUGCUGUGAGCUCGAUGAGUAGGGCGGGACACGUGGUAUCCUGUCUGAAUAUGGGGGGACCAUCCUCCAAGGCUAAAUACUCCUGACUGACCGAUAGUGAACCAGUACCGUGAGGGAAAGGCGAAAAGAACCCCGGCGAGGGGAGUGAAAAAGAACCUGAAACCGUGUACGUACAAGCAGUGGGAGCACCCUUUGGGGUGUGACUGCGUACCUUUUGUAUAAUGGGUCAGCGACUUAUAUUCUGUAGCAAGGUUAACCGAAUAGGGGAGCCGGAGGGAAACCGAGUCUUAACCGGGCGUUAAGUUGCAGGGUAUAGACCCGAAACCCGGUGAUCUAGCCAUGGGCAGGUUGAAGGUUGGGUAACACUAACUGGAGGACCGAACCGACUAAUGUUGAAAAAUUAGCGGAUGACCUGUGGCUGGGGGUGAAAGGCCAAUCAAACCGGGAGAUAGCUGGUUCUCCCCGAAAGCUAUUUAGGUAGCGCCUCGUGAAUUCAUCUCCGGGGGUAGAGCACUGUUUCGGCUAGGGGGCCAUCCCGGCUUACCAACCCGAUGCAAACUGCGAAUACCGGAGAAUGUUAUCACGGGAGACACACGGCGGGUGCUAACGUCCGUCGUGAAGAGGGAAACAACCCAGACCGCCAGCUAAGGUCCCAAAGUCAUGGUUAAGUGGGAAACGAUGUGGGAAGGCCCAGACAGCCAGGAUGUUGGCUUAGAAGCAGCCAUCAUUUAAAGAAAGCGUAAUAGCUCACUGGUCGAGUCGGCCUGCGCGGAAGAUGUAACGGGGCUAAACCAUG